UCUUCCCUCUCGCGCUAGGCUUAACACAUGCAAGUCGAGGGGCAGCAUGGUCUUAGCUUGCUAAGACUGAUGGCGACCGGCGCACGGGUGCGUAACGCGUAUGCAACUUGCCUCACAGAGGGGGAUAACCCGUCGAAAGACGGACUAAUACCGCGUACACUCUAUUUUGGGCAUCCAAGGUAGAGGAAAUGAAAUUCGCUGUGAGAUAGGCAUGCGUCCCAUUAGCUAGUUGGUGAGGUAACGGCUCACCAAGGCGACGAUGGGUAGGGGAACUGAGAGGUUGAACCCCCACACUGGUACUGAGACACGGACCAGACUCCUACGGGAGGCAGCAGUGAGGAAUAUUGGUCAAUGGGCGAGAGCCUGAACCAGCCAAGUCGCGUGAAGGAUGACUGUCUUAUGGAUUGUAAACUUCUUUUGUAGGGGAAGAAAGAGGGGCACGUGUGCCCCAGUGAAUGUACCCUACGAAUAAGCAUCGGCUAACUCCGUG
rnacentral:rRNA from 1 species